rnacentral:misc_RNA from 1 species
GAUGAAGAACGUAGCGAAAUGCGAUACGUAGUGUGAAUUGCAGAAUUCAGUGAAUCAUCGAAUCUUUGAACGCACAUUGCACCUCUCGGUAUUCCGGGAGGUAUGCCUGUUCGAGCGUCAUUUGUACCCUCAAGCUCUGCUUGGUGUUGGGUGUUUGUUCCGCCUCUGUGUGUGAACUCGCCUCAAAACAAUUGGCAGCCGGCGUACUUGUUUCGGAGCGCAACACAUUUUGCGAUCCAGAUCAACGUACAGCGGCAUCCAAGAAGCCUUAUUUAACGCUCUUGACCUCGGAUCAGGUAGGGAUACCCGCUGAACUUAAGCAUAUCAAUAAGCGGAGGA